ACUAAAUACAAAGUAUCUUACCAGGAAUAUUAAAAUGAAAUUAGUUGUUUUAUACAUGAUUUUGUGUUUUUUCAUUACUUUAGGAUUUGGACAGAUUGUACCAAAAUGUCCUGCAAAUUCUCACCAAGGAUGCCAUCCUUGCUGUGCCACUCCAACUUGUAGAUAUAGAAGUCCGACAUGUCCCCCGAACAGAAUCUGCAAAUUCAAAUUAGAGUGUAAAUUGGCAUGUUUAUGCGAUAAGGGUUUCAUCUACGAUGACAUAGGAAUUGUUGGUGGGUGCAUACGUGUCAAGGAUUGUCCUCCAAUUAAGUUCUAGCAAUACUCCAAGUUUCGUACCAGUUCUUUUUAAAAUGAAGUUUGUUGUUUUAUGCACGAUUUUGAGUUUUUUGGUUACUCUAGGGAUUGGACAGCUUGUUGUACCAAAAUGUCCUGCAAACUCUCACCAAGGAUGCCGUCCUUGCUGUCCCACUCCAACUUGUAGAAAUAGAAAUCCGACGUGUCCGCUUAACAGAGUCUGCACAUUAGACUGUCAAUUCGCAUGUUUAUGUAAUAAGGGUUUCAUCUACGAUGAUAUAGGCUUUGUUGGUGGGUGCAUACGUCCCAAGGAUUGUCCCCCAAUUAGGUAUAGUUAGAUAGGUAUUUAGUAUCAUGUAGAAUGAUUAAUUAAAGUAAAUUGAUCUUGUUUUAUCGUU
rnacentral:lncRNA from 1 species